rnacentral:rRNA from 1 species
GAUGAACGCUGGCGGCGUGCUUAACACAUGCAAGUCGAGCGAGAAGUUUUGAAAAGAUUCUUCGGAUGAAAUUUAAAAUGGAAAGCGGCGGACGGGUGAGUAACGCGUAGGCAACCUGCCCCAUACAAAGGGAUAGCAUUUGGAAACGAAUAUUAAUACCUUGAAACUUAACUAGUGCAUGCUAGGUAGGUCAAAGAUUUAUCGGUAUGGGAUGGGCCUGCGUCUGAUUAGCUAGUUGGUGAGGUAACGGCUCACCAAGGCGACGAUCAGUAGCCGACCUGAGAGGGUGAACGGCCACAUUGGAACUGAGACACGGUCCAAACUCCUACGGGAGGCAGCAGUGGGGAAUAUUGCACAAUGGGGGAAACCCUGAUGCAGCAACGCCGCGUGAACGAUGAAGGCCUUUGGGUCGUAAAGUUCUGUUCUAGGUGAUGAAAACUGACAGUAACCUAGGAGAAAGCCCCGGCUAACUCCGUG